rnacentral:rRNA from 1 species
UACAGAGGGUGCAAGCGUUAAUCGGAAUUACUGGGCGUAAAGCGUGCGCAGGCGGCUUCUCAAGUCAGGGGUGAAAGCCCAGAGCUCAACUCUGGAAUUGCCUUUGAGACUGAGUGGCUUGAGUACGAGAGAGGUGAGUGGAAUUCCCAGUGUAGAGGUGAAAUUCGUAGAUAUUGGGAAGAACACCGGUGGCGAAGGCGGCUCACUGGCUCGUAACUGACGCUCAUGCACGACAGCGUGGGGAUCAAACAGG